UGUGUUGUUGGGUAGGGGAGCGUUCUGUAAGCCUGUGAAGGUGUGCUGUGAGGCAUGCUGGAGGUAUCAGAAGUGCGAAUGCUGACAUAAGUAACGAUAAAGCGGGUGAAAAGCCCGCUCGCCGGAAGACCAAGGGUUCCUGUCCAACGUUAAUCGGGGCAGGGUGAGUCGACCCCUAAGGCGAGGCCGAAAGGCGUAGUCGAUGGGAAACAGGUUAAUAUUCCUGUACUUGGUGUUACUGCGAAGGGGGGACGGAGAAGGCUAUGUUGGCCGGGCGACGGUUGUCCCGGUUUAAGCGUGUAGGCUGGUUUUCCAGGCAAAUCCGGAAAAUCAAGGCUGAGGCGUGAUGACGAGGCACUACGGUGCUGAAGCAACAAAUGCCCUGCUUCCAGGAAAAGCCUCUAAGCAUCAGGUAACAUCAAAUCGUACCCCAAACCGACACAGGUGGUCAGGUAGAGAAUACCAAGGCGCUUGAGAGAACUCGGGUGAAGGAACUAGGCAAAAUGGUGCCGUAACUUCGGGAGAAGGCACGCUGAUAUGUAGGUGAAGUCCCUCGCGGAUGGAGCUGAAAUCAGUCGAAGAUACCAGCUGGCUGCAACUGUUUAUUAAAAACACAGCACUGUGCAAACACGAAAGUGGACGUAUACGGUGUGACGCCUGCCCGGUGCCGGAAGGUUAAUUGAUGGGGUCAGCGCAAGCGAAGCUCUUGAUCGAAGCCCCGGUAAACGGCGGCCGUAACUAUAACGGUCCUAAGGUAGCGAAAUUCCUUGUCGGGUAAGUUCCGACCUGCACGAAUGGCGUAAUGAUGGCCAGGCUGUCUCCACCCGAGACUCAGUGAAAUUGAACUCGCUGUGAAGAUGCAGUGUACCCGCGGCAAGACGGAAAGACCCCGUGAACCUUUACUAUAGCUUGACACUGAACAUUGAGCCUUGAUGUGUAGGAUAGGUGGGAGGCUUUGAAGUGUGGACGCCAGUCUGCAUGGAGCCGACCUUGAAAUACCACCCUUUAAUGUUUGAUGUUCUAACGUGGACCCGUGAUCCGGGUUGCGGACAGUGUCUGGUGGGUAGUUUGACUGGGGCGGUCUCCUCCUAAAGAGUAACGGAGGAGCACGAAGGUUGGCUAAUCCUGGUCGGACAUCAGGAGGUUAGUGCAAUGGCAUAAGCCAGCUUGACUGCGAGCGUGACGGCGCGAGCAGGUGCGAAAGCAGGUCAUAGUGAUCCGGUGGUUCUGAAUGGAAGGGCCAUCGCUCAACGGAUAAAAGGUACUCCGGGGAUAACAGGCUGAUACCGCCCAAGAGUUCAUAUCGACGGCGGUGUUUGGCACCUCGAUGUCGGCUCAUCACAUCCUGGGGCUGAAGUAGGUCCCAAGGGUAUGGCUGUUCGCCAUUUAAAGUGGUACGCGAGCUGGGUUUAGAACGUCGUGAGACAGUUCGGUCCCUAUCUGCCGUGGGCGCUGGAGAACUGAGGGGGGCUGCUCCUAGUACGAGAGGACCGGAGUGGACGCAUCACUGGUGUUCGGGUUGUCAUGCCAAUGGCACUGCCCGGUAGCUAAAUGCGGAAGAGAUAAGUGCUGAAAGCAUCUAAGCACGAAACUUGCCCCGAGAUGAGUUCUCCCUGACCCUUUAAGGGUCCUGAAGGAACGUUGAAGACGACGACGUUGAUAGGCCGGGUGUGUAAGCGCAGCGAUGCGUUGAGCUAACCGGUACUAAUGAACCGUGAGGCUUAACCUU
rnacentral:rRNA from 1 species